CGUGGAAACACCCAAGCCCGCAUCGUGCCCAGGAACCACUCCAGCCAUUCUACCAUGCCCCCUCUUUAAGCUGCGAGUGCAGUGAUUAUUUAUUUAAAACUGGCCUGUUAUUCUGAGCUGCAGAUCCGCUAUAUCACAGGAGGGUGCAUUAAGUAAAAGGAAGAAAGAAGUGCGAACCAUCUGCAGAGAUCGGAAACAAAAAAUACAUCCCAGCUGUGUGAAGUACAACUUCAAAAAAAUGCUGCACAGUAUAAGCAGUCAGUGCCCCGAAGACUGGAACUCUGCAGGGUCUCACCCCUUGGUCAGGUAGGUUUUCUUUUAUUUGAAUGUUCAUGUUGGUUUUUUAAACAUUAUUUCAUAUAUAUUGUUUCAUUUUAUCUUUAUUAAAUUGUUAUCCUAUACCUGUAUUAAAUUUUUUUUCCUGUCUUUAUUUUGCUUCUUUUAUGACCUAUUCUCCCGGUUUUCAGAGUUUCGUUAUAUGGAGAAUUAGUUUCUUUACUUCUUAUUUUUAUCUACGUCUUUUUGCCAUCUUGAGACUCGGGUUGCUGGGGAGCUUACCCUGGAAACUGCACAUUAUGACAUCAUUAGAAUGACACUUUAUAUACUGGCACUACAGAUCCAUUACUAUCUGAGUUUGCAAAUAAAUCAUAAGAAAUUUGUAAGUUAGUAUGUUUGCUGUUGGUUAGAAUUGUCUACUUAAAGAUCUUUGCUACGUAUUUUAUGACUACUGUUUCUGGUUUAUCUUUUUUGGGUUUAGACAAAAGAUAGAGAUUCUCUGCUUUUGGAAAUUGGCAUAUCCCUGACUUAAUAAUCCUUUCCUGGGGCCUCAUGCAUAACGGCGUGUGUAGAACUCACACUAUAACAUGACGUAAGCACAAAAGCUGAAAUGUGCUUACGCACAGAAAAAUCCAGAUGCAGGAAUUUGUGCGUUCGUCAACUUCUGCGUUCUUCCACUACAUAAAUCCCGGUCAGUGUAAAAAGUUACGCUCAUGCACGCGCGUGCUAUCCCGCUCCAACUCCUCCCAGAAUUACGCCUCUUUGAAUAUGCAAAUCAAUAUAAAUAGCUCUUAAGCUCAACGUUCUGUGAAAAGACAAUGACAAA